AUUGAACGCUGGCGGCAGGCCUAACACAUGCAAGUCGAGCGGGGUUUUCGGACCUAGCGGCGGACGGGUGAGUAAUGCGUAGGAAGCUGCCCGAUAGAGGGGGAUACCAGUUGGAAACGACUGUUAAUACCGCAUAAUGUCUACGGACCAAAGUGUGGGACCUUCGGGCCACAUGCUAUCGGAUGCGCCUACGUGGGAUUAGCUAGUUGGUGAGGUAAUGGCUCACCAAGGCGACGAUCUCUAGCUGGUUUGAGAGGAUGAUCAGCCACACUGGAACUGAGACACGGUCUAGACUCCUACGGGAGGCAGCAGUGGGGAAUAUUGGACAAUGGGCGCAAGCCUGAUCCAGCCAUGCCGCGUGUGUGAAGAAGGCCUUCGGGUUGUAAAGCACUUUCAGCGAGGAGGAAGGGUUAGUCGUUAAUAGCGGCUAAUUUUGACGUUACUCGCAGAAGAAGCACCGGCUAACUCUGUGCCAGCAGCCGCAGUAAAAC
rnacentral:rRNA from 1 species